AGUGAACGCUGGCGGUAGGCCUAACACAUGCAAGUCGAACGGCAGCACAGUAAGAGCUUGCUCUUACGGGUGGCGAGUUGCGGACGGGUGAGGAAUACAUCGGAAUCUACUUUUUCGUGGGGGAUAACGUAGGGAAACUUACGCUAAUACCGCAUACGACCUACGGGUGAAAGCAGGGGAUCUUCGGACCUUGCGCGAUUGAAUGAGCCGAUGUCGGAUUAGCUAGUUGGCGGGGUAAAGGCCCACCAAGGCGACGAUCCGUAGCUGGUCUGAGAGGAUGAUCAGCCAAACUGGAACUGAGAAACGGUCCAGACUCCUACGGGAGGCAGCAGUGGGGAAUAUUGGACAAUGGGCGCAAGCCUGAUCCAGCCAUACCGCGUGGGUGAAGAAGGCCUUCGGGUUGUAAAGCCCUUUUGUUGGGAAAGAAAAGCAGCAGGUUAAUACCCCGCUGUUCUGACGGUACCCAAAGAAUAAGCACCGGCUAACUUCGUG
rnacentral:rRNA from 1 species